rnacentral:lncRNA from 1 species
CUCCGUUGAUGUAGAUGGAUGAGUUGAGUUGGCCAGUGGCAAUCUUCUCAGAGGCCAUCUACCUUCCAUCCUCAAGAUCUGGAUCCAGCAAAUCUGCAAUUUUUACCAAUCCUUGGGAUGUUUUUUACAUGUGCUGAGGUACAUCAUUUGACAGAUGAGAAAAGGACCUAAGAAGGUCUCUUUGUCAGGAUCAUCAGGCCGGUACCCGUUGGUUGAUCCCAUCUCAAGAUUGAAGUACAAGAAUUCUGAAUUGAAACUUUGUCUCAGUGACAUUUUUCCUGCAAAGGCUGACCAAUGGUGGAGGGGAGGGCCACCUGAACUCUGUGAGUUGCUGCUUCAUGUAGAGAGGUUAAUACCAUAUGUCCUCUCCCUGAAUCCCACCACGAUCCAAUGAGGUUGUUAGGAGAGCUUCCACUUUACCCUUAAGGAAUAGAGACCCAGAGAGAGGAAGGAAUUUAGACUUGGCAGCAGCAUGCUAGGGAUCAAUGCUAGAUUUGGUGCAAAGCCUAAGAGUUUUCCAGGUUACUUAACUUCACCAAGAUGAGAUCGAAUUGUCAGGCUGAUCUGGAGCAACUCAGAGUGGGCUUAAAACUCUUUAAAGCAGUGAUGUUUCUGUAAAAAACUGCACUGUGCUCCCAUCCUACAACUGAAAGGACAGGUCAUUGCCAAAAAAGUUAGGAAGCCAAUGAUUUCAGAAUAAAAGGCCUUCCCUGCCCA